UGCUGUACGAGCGAGGGAUGCGACGUAUAAUUGUGCUCUAAUGAAACAUAAACAGCGCAGUCUGAGGGAGUGCGUCUGGGCAGGGCCCCUGCUGGCCUAAAGGCUCUGCUCUCCUAGGCUCUUAAUUAUGAGUGAGCAGCCAAACAGUCUGACCGCAAAAACCAGACUAACUAACCUCACUGUCUGGGUGGCUGCUCUGAGUUACGUCGUCAGAGUCCCAAUCAGCCAACACUUUUAUUGUUAUAGUGGUGAGAGAAGAGGCAGAAACAUCACAGAAGACAGAACACAAAUUCUGGAACUUCAGAAACCGUCGCCAGCGCCGUGCUAAAAAUCUCACUGAAUCCAAGAGAAAACAGGUGAAAGUGAAGGAGCUAACCAGAAUGUCCUGACUCUUGACCUCUCACCUCCAACUUGACUCAUCAGUUGAUCUGCUCUGGGUGGCCAAAUGUGUUGACCUGACCUCAAGCCUAACAGUGACCCGGGGUCACUGCCAGUUGGUUUCUGCCUGCAACAGUACACACACAGCCUGGGAAAGGCACAAGAUGUGACCCGUUAAUCAUGUAAAGUACCUGUUAAAAAUAAAAUCCAGUA